rnacentral:rRNA from 1 species
GAUGAACGCUGGCGGCGUGCCUAAUACAUGCAAGUCGAGCGAACAGACGAGGAGCUUGCUCCUCUGACGUUAGCGGCGGACGGGUGAGUAACACGUGGAUAACCUUCCUAUAAUACUGGGAUAACUUCGGGAAACCGGAGCUAAUACCGGAUAAUAUAUUGAACCGCAUGGUUCAAUAGUGAAAGACGGUUUUGCUGUCACUUAUAGAUGGAUCCGCGCCGCAUUAGCUAGUUGGUAAGGUAACGGCUUACCAAGGCGACGAUGCGUAGCCGACCUGAGAGGGUGAUCGGCCACACUGGAACUGAGACACGGUCCAGACUCCUACGGGAGGCAGCAGUAGGGAAUCUUCCGCAAUGGGCGAAAGCCUGACGGAGCAACGCCGCGUGAGUGAUGAAGGUCUUCGGAUCGUAAAACUCUGUUAUUAGGGAAGAACAAAUGUGUAAGUAACUAUGCACGUCUUGACGGUACCUAAUCAGAAAGCCACGGCUAACUACGUG